CACGGGGGGAGCAAGCGUUGUUCGGAAUCACUGGGCGUAAAGGGCGUGUAGGCGGUCAGGUAAGUGGAAUGUGAAAUGCCCCGGCUCACCCGGGGACCGGCAUCCCAAACUGCCUGGCUUGAGUACGGGAGAGGAUGGAGGAAUUCCUGGUGUAGCGGUGAAAUGCGUAGAUAUCAGGAGGAACACCGGUGGCGAAGGCGUCCAUCUGGCCCGAUACUGACGCUGAGGCGCGAAAGCUAGGGGAGCAAACGGG
rnacentral:rRNA from 1 species